rnacentral:rRNA from 1 species
UACGGAGGGAGCUAGCGUUGUUCGGAAUUACUGGGCGUAAAGCGCACGUAGGCGGCUUUGUAAGUUAGAGGUGAAGGCCCGGGGCUCAACUCCGGAACUGCCUUUAAGACUGCAUCGCUUGAAUCCAGGAGAGGUGAGUGGAAUUCCGAGUGUAGAGGUGAAAUUCGUAGAUAUUCGGAAGAACACCAGUGGCGAAGGCGGCUCACUGGACUGGUAUUGACGCUGAGGUGCGAAAGCGUGGGGAGCAAACAGG